GACGAACGCUGGCGGCGUGCUUAACACAUGCCAGUCGAACGGCAAGGCCCUGCUUUUGUGGUGUGCUCGAGUGGCGAACGGGUGAGUAACACGUGAGUAACCUGCCCUUGACUUUGGGAUAACUUCAGGAAACUGGGGCUAAUACCGGAUAGGAGCUCCUGCUGCAUGGUGGGGGGUGGAAAGUUUCGGCGGGUGGGGAUGGACUCGCGGCUGAUCGGCUUGUUGGUGGGGUAGUGGCUUACCAAGGCUUUGGAGGGUAGGCGGCCUGAGAGGGUGACCGGCCACAUUGGGACUGAGAGACGGCGCAGAGUCGUACGGGAGGCAGCAGGGGGGAGUAUUGCACAGUGAGCGGAAGCCUGAUGCAGCAACGCCGCGUGCGGGAUGACGGCCUUUGGGUUGUAAACCGCAUUCGCCUGUGACGAAGCGUGAGUGACGGUAAUGGGUAAAGAAGCACCGGCUAACUACGUG
rnacentral:rRNA from 1 species